AUCGCUUCUCAACCUUUUGGCUAAGAUCAAGUGUAGUAACUCUUCUUAUCAGUUUAACAUUUUUAUCUUUAAAUAUGAUUUAGAAAUGACCAAAACAGAUCUUUCAGACUCUGA
rnacentral:snRNA from 1 species